rnacentral:rRNA from 1 species
AACGAACGCUGGCGGCAGGCUUAACACAUGCAAGUCGAACGCCCCGCAAGGGGAGUGGCAGACGGGUGAGUAACGCGUGGGAACGUGCCCUUCGCUUCGGAAUAGCCCCGGGAAACUGGGAGUAAUACCGAAUACGCCGUAUUGGGAAAGAUUUAUCGGCGAAGGAUCGGCCCGCGUUAGAUUAGCUAGUUGGCGGUGUAAUGGACCACCAAGGCUACGAUCUAUAGCUGGUCUGAGAGGAUGAUCAGCCACACUGGGACUGAGACACGGCCCAGACUCCUACGGGAGGCAGCAGUGGGGAAUCUUGGACAAUGGGCGCAAGCCUGAUCCGGCCAUGCCGCGUGAGUGAAGAAGGCCUUAGGGUUGUAAAACUCUUUCGCCGGAGAAGAUAAUGACGGUAUCCGUAGAAGAAGCCCCGGCUAACUUCGUGCCAGCCGCCGCGGUAACAC